AAACAACAACAGCAACAAUAGUCUGUGUUGAAAGGUUCACGUUCAAAACAUUCUCUGAUUGCACGCUCAACUCCUCCUCCUCCUUCUUCCUUCACCUUUCCACAAAUUCUCAUUUGCCCUGGGGCAGCAGCCACAAUUGGUUUGCCCAGUGGGUCCCUGAUGUUUUCCAGAUGGGAGAGGGGCAAGGGGAAGUUGGCACAGUGCAAAUGUAUCAGUGGAGUCUGCCCAGUCCUCCUGCUAUUGGGUUUGCACCAAGCCAAUCUCCCCACUGCACCACCCUUCUAACUCCUGAUAAGCAAUAGUGUCCCACCAACCGGGAAACAGGCAACUGGGAAACUCUGCCCCAUCCUCAAGCCACUUCUGGCUACAGAGCACACUGUGGUCUCUGUAGUCAGGAGAUCAUGGACCACUGGGAGUUUGUACCUCCUGCCUCACAGCAACAAGAAGACAGAACCUGGGCCCGCACAUCAACCAAAGGUGCUUGCUUCCCCACUUCACAAUGGAGAGAAUAGAAUGCUCUGCUUCAACUGAACUGCCUGUUGUCCUGCAACUGAAGAAGUACGGGGAAGCCCAUCUCAGCUUCCAGCCAGAGGAACAAGGGUCUGUUGGGCCAGAUGCAGCAGCUCUGUUCAUGCCAGACCACCAUCAAGGGAAGAUAAGCCUGGCCCUAAAUGGAUGUACACAAAGGCCUGCUGACAGCUCACUACAUUGUUCUGGUGCUGUCAAACUGGUCUCCCACCUCUAACUUUUCCCACCACUGCCCUUCUCUUCUUUUUAUUGUGUGAGCUUGGGGGCAGGGCUUCUCUCUCCUGCCCUUAGAAUUGAUGUGAGCCAUUUUAGGAAAAGACAGUGUUCAGCUGAAAAAUGAGAUGAAAAUAUAACUGCAUGAAUGUGACAAAUACUGCGUCCCAUCCAGAUGUUACAUGAGGAGUCAGACACAUGGAUUUCAUAAGUGGAAUUCGCUCAGGGCCAGACUACACAUGAGGUAGAAGAUCUGUGACUUGACUGCCUUACUUGUUUAAAAAACUGAAAUGGUGGUGGUUGCUGUUGUUAAUCUUGGAAGAAGGAGACGUUUUAUCCAUUUCCCUCACACUGUUUUCCUGUUAAUAAUCCCUCCAUCUCCAGCUGGUGUUUACUGUUUGAAUGGGGGAAAUACAGACCCUCCAAGUGUCCCUAUUUUCCAGAGACAUCCCUGAUUUAGAGAAGGUGCCCUGGUUUCUGAUUUGAUGCUGGAAUGUCCCACUUUUCCUUAGGAUGUCCCUAUUUUCAUUGGAAUAAUGUUGGAGGGUAUGGAGUUAUCCGACACCUGAACCGUCUGAAGGCAAUCCUGUAUAGUAGGGUUGCCAUGUGUCCUCUUUUCCCAGGACACAUCCUCUUUUUCAUGGGUAGAGUCAUCAUAGUGAUCCAUAGCUAAAAGUAGAAGUCGGCAAAUGUGUCCUCUUUUCUGCUCUUCAAUAUAUGGCAACCCUCUAGGGAAGUUUUUUUAAAUGUUUACUGUUUUAUUAUGUUUUUAUAUAUGUUGGAAGCUGCCAAGAGUGGCUGGGGCAACCCAGUAAGAUGUGUGGGUUAUAAACAGUAAAGAUAUCAUUAUGGAAUGGGAUGUGCCUAUUUUCAAAGGAGAAAAGUUGUAGGGUAUGGAAAUACAUGGAAGCAAUUUAAUCGGAGGGGGGGGGGAUGCCACAGAAGACACCUCUCUCUCUCUCUCUCUCACACACACACACACACACAUACAGUGUCCCCCACCCCCUGAACAUUUCGUGCAUACAGUUGUAUUUCAGGAAACAAAGAAUGAUGAAAAACUAAGCACACAAUAUGCAAGCCACAAGCUUCUGGGUGCAGAAUUUUGAUCCAUUUCCUUAACGCAGAUUACGUAUAGCCUUGUAACCACUUAUUGAUUCAUGAACUUUGCUGUUGAUUAAUCCAACAUGGAGCUUUGGGAUCAAUUCUGGGUGGGCCUUGACUCAUUAGCUGUCCCCUCAGUGCGUUUGGCACACAUCCCCCUUCUGAUAUAGGUUCAUUCAAACCACUCUUACGCCUCUGGCUCACUGGCCUUCCUGUUUCCUGCAUCCAUACAACAGUGGGGUCAUAACUGAUUAUAGCUUCAGUAUUGUUAUAUUAUACAAUUCUGUCCUUGCCCUUACAGUGGUACCUCAGGUUACAUACGCUUCAGGUUACAUACGCUUCAGGUUACAGACUCCGCUAACCCAGAAAUAUUACCUCGGGUUAAGAACUUUGCUUCAGGAUGAGAACAGAAAUCGUGCCGUGGCGGCACAGCAGCAGCAGGAGGCCCCAUUAGCUAAAGUGGUGCUUCAGGUUAAGAACAGUUUCAGGUUAAGAACGGACCUCCAGAACGAAUUAAGUUCUUAACCCGAGGUACCACUGUAUUUUUAGUUUUUAGAUUAUGUUCGGGUUAAUCAGGAGGAAGUAGAGACAGGAAGCAUCAUAAAAAGAAUUUAAUGAAAGUGGUUGGUGAUUCUGUGCAUAGUCAUAAGGCCCAUUAUUUUGUGCUGUAAUAACCAUUAAUAUUGUAUUCAUGAAGCUGUGACAGCAUGUUUACAUGUCUCUUCUGGGAAGCUUAAGAUGUGUCUGGCUUUUUGACCUUCAUUCACUUUCCAUCUAUUUGUAAUUUAUGACUGGUUCUGUUAUCGUUUUCUAUUAGUUACUGGAUGGUAACUAAGGUCAGGGGUGGGCUCCUCCAACUCCUAAUGCAAUUGUUUUUUUCCUGCAAACACCAUAGCAGCCAGAGAAGUACGAUUCACUCUAGGAUUUCCAAAUAGGAGGAAACCCCCCCCCUUUUUUUUUUAGCUUCUGCGCUUGUUGCAGGAUGUAAGGUUCUCUGCAAAAGACAACCUUUGCCAGACUUUUCAAAGAUAGCGGGAGUAUGUUUACUUAGUGUAUGCUUUGGCUACAUAAGAGAUCCAUGCAUGCAGUUCUAAGGUUGGCUGCCACAACCUUCUGAGUGCAGGGUGCAGAAUUCGGGCCUUCUCUAGUUAUUACCAAAAUGUUUCUGUGUGGACGGCUCCUCUUCAGAGUACUCCAUCUUAAUCCCUACCUUUUUUUCCCCAUGCCUCCCCAACAGUCAGUUGGCAUCCUGAGGAUGCUCAGUUCCCAUUGGACAGUUUGUGGAUCACCCUCUUAGGAUUUCCACCGCUAAAGAAUGUUUGUAUUUUUGCAAAAAUGUAGAUUUUCUCCCGUCCUGUCGACACUUCCCUUUUGUAUGUGAGUAGUGCCUCUUAGUUGCAUAAAUGUGCAACACUUGGAGAACUGAGUUCACUGUUAGAUUAUAUAGUAGCCUUCGCCAACCUGGUGCCCGCUAAAAGUUUUGAAUUACAACUCCCAUCAGCCCCAGACAACAUGGUGUAGGCUGCUAUAUAUGACGGCAGAAAGCGUGGAAAUUCCAUUUCUAAUUCUGCUUCCUCUCUAAGUGGCGCUGUGCAUUAUGGGCUCACCUCAGCCGUGGCCUUUCCAGCGCUUGCCUCCGGAGAGAGCUGUCUGUUCACAUUCCUUCAAGAACUUCUAUCCCCCACUACAAAAUAAUACAUGUGAGGACCAGCUUCUUCUUCGUCCAGAGAACCAAUUGGGAACCAAUGAGUAAGAAGCAAAAAAGGUCCACUUCCCUGGAGUAACAAUCGGUGACUUGCCAUCUUUAAAAGGUCAGGCCUUUUGUUGCUGUUGUUGAUCAACCGUAACAUAUUGUGUGCAAGAAGUGCUUCAGAUUGGUGGAUUCUUCUUUGCCUGCAGUUUGGAAGUGUUGUAGAUUCCUACCUUGACAAAGAUCACUUAUGAAGUCUGGCUGACCUUGGGGUGCUGAGUUCCACGUUCAGACCCACAUUCAGCAGCACAGAAUGGUGUCAGCAAGGGGCUUGAGGGCAGUAGGUAUUGAGAUCAUUAAUAUUGCACUUGUGAAAGCUACUGGGUGAAUAAAUACUGACUCUCAUGCUGAAAUAAAAAUUAUCCAGUCCAAAAAUAUGGUUCAAAAGCUUUACUCACAGGACCUAAUUUCAAAACAACUUAAAACAAUAAAAACUGCAACCAGAUAGUUUCAUAUUUCUUAUACAGUGGUACCUCGGGUUACAGAAGCUUCAGGUUACAGACCCUUCAGGUUACAGACUCCGCUAACCCAGAAAUAGUACCUUGGGUUAAGAACUUUGCUUCAGGAUGAGAACAGAGAUAGUGUGGUGGCAGUGGGAGCCCCCAUUAUCUAAGGUGGUACCUCAGGUUAAGAACAGUUUCAGGUUAAGAACGGACCUCCAGAACGAAUUAAGUUCUUAACCCAAGGUACCACUGUACUGAUCCCAGCUUAAGGCAUACUUCAUUAAAUAUAUGUUGCAUUCUGUGCUAAAAAUCAAAGCUCUCUCUCUCUCUCUCUUCUCUAUUGCAGCCUCUAUUAGUCUCAGGCUGGUUGCUGGAGACAGGGAAUCGCACAUCCAUUCUCUUUGGUAGCUUAGAACAAAAGGAACACCACACGCAACAUGGAUGCCUACCAGAUUAGCAUAUGCAUA
rnacentral:lncRNA from 1 species